GACGUAGGGACCGAGCGUUGUCCGGAUUCAUUGGGCGUAAAGCGCGCGCAGGCGGCUUCGCAAGUCGGGUGUGAAAAUCCGGGGCUCAACCCCGGACCUGCACCCGAAACUGCGAGGCUCGAGGCAGGUAGGGGAGAUCGGAAUUCCUGGUGUAGCGGUGAAAUGCGCAGAUAUCAGGAGGAACACCGGUGGCGAAGGCGGAUCUCUGGGCCUGUCCUGACGCUCAGGCGCGAAAGCUAGGGGAGCGAAC
rnacentral:rRNA from 1 species